UUGUCGGAUGCAAAGGGAGUAGCUCUGAUGCAGGCACCUGCCCCGUUCCCUCUAAAUCCCUCUGUUCUUGCUAGACUGGGUAAGCAGGUAUGAAACAGAGGCAGCAUCAAGGCACCGCGUCAUUCAUGGCAAAGCAGGCAGGGAAACGGGCCUGAGAACUGAAGUGACUUGCCGGUGGUGACGCAGCCAGUGAGUGGCUGAGUUAGGAAAAGCACUCGGGAGGCCUCACUCCCCGGGGAAAGUUUCUCUGAAGAAAAUCUAGGUCGCUGCACAACGACUUGGGAAACUGAAAUUCUGUAGAAUGAAAAUUAAUCAGUUUCCAGGGGGAAAAAUAGGAUUUGAUUCCAGUGGCCAAGAUUUUGAGCCUGCAGUUAGGCUCUUAAAUACAUACAGAGAAGCAAGCUGCUUUUCAAAUGUGCUGAGUGCCUGGCAGCAUCCGACGAAGCCGGUGGAGUUACAAAACCAGCAGCGAUGAAAGGACAGGAAGGCCCUGAGUAAGCAAAUAGAGCAGCUGUUCUGCACCCAGCAGCAACUUACACACAACCGCCCUUAUCCCUUAGAACGUGUCUGACUGAGAGAGGAUUGCAAUAGUAAAUGAGCAGGAGCAACCAUAACUGCUCUGCUCCUGCUCUUGCUUACCCCAAAGAUUCUGUGGUGCCCUGUAUCAGGCCAAAAUGAGAGCAAAGCAGGUGUGCACCCCCACUUCCCAGCUAUAACUGACCACAGAUUUACACUGGUGUAACUCUACUGACGUCAGUGGCAUCCUUCCUGCUUUACACCAGCUCAGUUUUCCUUAGACGGAGAAAUCAGUGAUGCAGAGUCAGUUUAUUUCCUUGGUGUGUACCGUAUUGUUUAUUGACACUAUCUACAUCAGUCCUGGAACAAAGGGGGCUCCAAACAGCAUGCAUGCCAUCACCCCCCUUUCAGAAAUCUCAGCCUGUAUGCCAAUGCCGGAUUCCCAGGAAGCCACUGUGCCCCAAGAAUUGGCUGCGGUUACAACGAUUAAAACUGAGAGAUAACUCUUGCCGUUUGCAGCAGCUCCCUGCAAAGAUGAGCUCCACAAAACCAACAGAAAUCAAAGGUGCAGGAACUAGGAGUGCAGGGGGGAGUUUUUACGCAGCACCAGCAUCAGGCCUCCAUUCCCCAGCACGGGCCUCAGGUCCCAGCCACUGGUCCCGUGCCCCACUCCCUGGCCACUGACCCUGUGCCUGGGGCCCUACUCUUGGUCCUGCACCUGGGGCUCUGCUCUUGGGGCAAUGGCCCCACUCCCUGACCCUGUGACUUGGGCCCUGCACCCAGCCCUGCACUCCCGACACUCUGCUCCCGGGGUCCUGGCCACUGCCCCUGUGGCCAGAGCUCUGCUACUGGCCCCACAUGCAGGGUCCUGGUUGUGGGAACGCCCCCAGCCUUUGCCCCCUUGCCCCUGUCCGGGUCCCCCCCUCCUGGAGACACAGCACUGCUCCCGGCCUCAGCUGGAGGGUGCAAACAGGGAUAAGGGGGCUGGCUUUCAGCACCCCCACUAUUAAAAGGGUUCCAGCAUCACUGACAGAAAUACAGCAUUUCUUAGAAGACUGCGCACUGCUCGCAUGCUAGGAAAAAUAACUAGCAGGACUGUGUUACAGUCUAAUGAGUGUGAUCUGCCCAGUGAGGGGGUGUGAUAGCAGAUGCAGCAAGAAAUGUUGACCUGAGGGUGCGAGGUAAAGGAGGUGUGUGUAUGUGUAGUGGGGGAGCUAAUUUAUUUGCCCUUUAACUGCUCUCCUGUUAGUUACUACCAUGGGAGUUGCACUCCUUCGCAUCAGUUCUUCCUUUGGCCUGCUCUGUCCAUGGUAUCUGGAUAGAUGGUGACUGAUUUUUCCUUAUGGCAAGGACGCUGUGUCCACAUAGCUGCAACCAUCAUGCAAGAUAACUUAAUAAGUGACUGCAGCAGGCAGUAUCUGGCUCUUGCGAGGCCAGACCUCAUUUGGUGAGGCCAUUAGACUUACCCUUGGUUGAAUUCAAGAAGGGGGCUGUGGGCCUUUAAGUUUCACCUGGGCUGUUGGAGACGGGCAACAUGGGGCUUGAUUUAAACUCCCUUCUGAAGAAAGACACAUCUAAGGUCCUGUCCACACACAAAAGGGAGCACAUAAGAGCUUGUCCACACGGGAAAAUGAUUUCAAGCCUUAAGAGACAGUUAAAAAGUGGCACCUGCUGUGCUGUUUUCUUUUGUGGCUGGUUGGUGUGCACAGGGGCAAGUCAUGCUUGAACUGGAGCUGAAGUUUGGCAUUUCCAUCCUGUGAGAAACGCCAACACUGGUUUUCUUCCCAGGUCAGGAGGAGAAGCUGAAACGCCGAAGGCUUUCGCGCGACGAAACGUUCCAAGCCAUUUCCAUUCAGAAAUGUGGAAGGGUUUCGUUUCAACAUUUUUCAUCACAAGGGGAUGUCUCACGUGCAUGGUGAAGUUAUUAACAUUGUAACCAUCCAUGGGCACUUAGGAUAGUUGUUCCUACGCUGCAUGUGAAAUUUAAUGCAACAACAGCAGGGAUAGAACCAGGGGGCAGAUUGGGAGGAAAAAAAAUAAGCAUGGGAUUUUGUCCUGGACUCCACCCACAAUUCAGGCCCCACCCACUUUUGACAUCAAAAUCAGCCUCCUUUUCAAGACCUCCAGUGAAGCUUUUUACAAUACUCCUGUGAAACGCUUACGGUGCUACACACAGUCGGUUCUGAAGAGCUUCACAAUAUGAUGGUCUCUCUUCUUUCUUGAAUGCUUUGGCCAACAGUAAAAUUGUUAACAAUG